rnacentral:rRNA from 1 species
CCUACGGGAGGCAGCAGUGGGGGAUAUUGCACAAUGGGGGAAACCCUGAUGCAGCGACGCCGCGGGGGUGAAGAAGCGCCUCGGCGCGUAAAGCCCUGUCAGCAGGGAAGAAAAUGACGGUACCUGAAGAAGAAGCCCCGGCUAACUACGUGCCAGCAGCCGCGGUAAUACGUAGGGGGCAAGCGUUAUCCGGAUUUACUGGGUGUAAAGGGGGCGCAGACGGCGAUGCAAGCCAGGAGUGAAAGCCCGGGGCCCAGCCCCGGGACUGCUCGUGGAACUGCGUGGAUAGAGUGCAGGAGGGGCAGGCGGAAUUCCUGGUGUAGCGGUGAAAUGCGUAGAUAUCAGGAGGAACACCGGUGGCGAAGGCGGCCUGCUGGACUGCAACUGACGUUGAGGCCCGAAAGCGUGGGGAGCAAACAGGAUUAGAUACCCUGGUAGUC